GCCACGGGGCGGAAAUGCGCAACGGAGAGUUCCGGUGGCCGCGUCUGCGCCAAAGGUGGCGGGAUGGAGGAGGUGCCUGAGGACUGUCCCGGGACCGGCAGCGCCCAGGCGGGCCGAGGGGCAUCAUGUCAAGGGUGCCCGAACCAGCGGCUAUGCGCUUCUGGAGCCGGCGCCGCUCGGGACCCGGCCAUAGAGGAAAUCAAAGAGAAAAUGAAAACCGUGAAACACAAAAUCUUGGUGUUGUCUGGGAAAGGCGGCGUUGGGAAAAGCACAUUCAGUGCCCACCUCGCCCACGGCCUGGCAGAGGACGAAAACACACAGAUUGCUCUUCUAGACAUUGAUAUAUGUGGGCCAUCAAUCCCCAAGAUAAUGGGACUGGAAGGAGAACAGGUUCACCAGAGUGGCUCGGGCUGGUCUCCAGUGUAUGUGGAAGACAACCUCGGAGUGAUGUCAGUGGGUUUCUUGCUUGGCAGCCCCGAUGAUGCUGUGAUCUGGAGGGGACCAAAGAAAAAUGGCCUGAUCAAGCAGUUCCUGCGCGAUGUGGACUGGGGUGAGGUGGAGUACCUCAUCGUGGACACCCCUCCUGGGACAUCCGACGAGCACCUCUCUGUGGUCCAGUACCUGUCGGCCGCACGCAUAGAUGGGGCGGUGAUUGUCACUACUCCUCAGGAAGUAUCGCUCCAGGAUGUGCGGAAGGAAAUCAACUUCUGCCACAAGGUGAAGCUGCCCGUCAUUGGGGUGGUGGAGAACAUGAGCGGCUUUGUCUGCCCUAAGUGUAAGAAAGAAUCUCAGAUAUUCCCUCCGACGACUGGGGGCGCGGAGGCCAUGUGCCAGGAUCUAAAGAUCCCUCUCCUCGGCAAAGUGCCUCUGGAUCCACAAAUAGGUGGGAAAGAAUUGUGACAAGGGACAGUCCUUUUUUAUCGAAGCCCCAGAUUCGCCAGCCACAUUAGCCUACAGAAGUAUAAUUCAAAGGAUCCAAGAGUUUUGUAAUCUGCACCAUUCGAAAGAAGAGAGCCUCAUCGGUUCCUGAAACACCCAAGAGUGUAACGACACAGCAGGUACCGAGCUGGGAGCUGGGCCAGCAGCACGUCCGUCCCACCUCGCCAGCUCCAGGGACGGUGGGGGGCAGGGCACACAGGGCCCAGCUGCCGGCACAGGGCGGAGUCACUUUCUCAGAGACACUUUAAUCAUCUACUUUUUGUACACUUUUCUUUAAAAUAUAUGUAAAGGGAAUACUAAUAUGCUGUUCAAAAAAUAAAAAUAUCUCCUCCAAAA